rnacentral:rRNA from 1 species
UACGUAGGUGGCAAGCGUUGUCCGGAAUUAUUGGGCGUAAAGCGUACGCAGGCGGUUUCUUAAGUCUGAUGUGAAAGCCCACGGCUCAACCGUGGAGGGUCAUUGGAAACUGGGGAACUUGAGUACAGAAGAGGAGAGUGGAAUUCCACGUGUAGCGGUGAAAUGCGUAGAGAUGUGGAGGAACACCAGUGGCGAAGGCGACUCUCUGGUCUGUAACUGACGCUGAGGUACGAAAGCGUGGGGAGCGAAC